GCAUCUAAGCGGGAAACCCACCUCAAAACCAGUUUUCCCUUGAGAGCCGUGGUAGACGACCACGUUGAUAGGCCAGGUGUGGAAGUGCGGCAACGCAUGUAGCUUACUGGUACUAAUCGCUCGAUUGGCUUGAUUACUCUCAUUU
rnacentral:rRNA from 1 species